UCAAGCAGUCUAUCAGUUUUUGACUGUUGGAAUAUAAACGACUGCAAUAAUGUACCGUAAAUCUAUACGAAUGCUCUUCGACUGCUUAUCAAAGUCCUUUUUGCCCCAGCCGGUAGGUCUCUAGACGUUACAGAGAACCCCGAACAAUCCAAACUGUUAAUCUUCAAUAUCCCUUUGUACUUACGAUCUUGUAUCCACUGACUGUCUUGUUAGAUUAACCCAAUAAAUUUCAUUCACUCCGCAUACUCAAUCCUAUAGACAUCCUUUUAAUCCUUCAAUCACAGAGGUGACUCGAUUUUAUAAAACAGUCAAGAGUAUUCAAACCCACUUCAUUUAAAAAUCUCGAUUCACCAUUACAACACUGACUUCAGCAGCGAUUGCCUCAGUCUUCCCAAAACUCUACGAAGAAGAAAAAUCCAAAUUCUAUAUCUUUCCU
rnacentral:lncRNA from 1 species